rnacentral:misc_RNA from 1 species
UGGCUCUCCCAUCGAUGAAGAACGCAGCGAAAUGCGAUAAGUAAUGUGAAUUGCAGAAUUCAGUGAAUCAUCGAAUCUUUGAACGCACCUUGCGCCCUUUGGUAUUCCGAAGGGCAUGCCUGUUUGAGUGUCAUUAAAUUAUCAACCUUUGUUCGUUUGAGCAAAGGCUUGGAUGUGAGGGCUUUGCUGGCUUCCUUCAGUGGAUGGUCUGCUCCCUUUAAAUGCAUUAGUGGGAUCUGUUGCGGACCGUCACUUGGUGUGAUAAUUAUCUAUGCCACUUGACUUUGAAGCAAACUUUAUUGGAACCCGCUCAUAACCGUCUCGCAAGAGACAACUUUUUUUUGACUUGACCUCAAAUCAGGUAGGACUACCCGCUGA